AGCAGCGUGGCUCAGUGGAAAGAGCCCGGGCUUGGGAGUCAGAGGUCAUGGGUUCUAAUCCCGGCUCUGCUG
rnacentral:tRNA from 1 species